UGUUUUUCUGGCACAUAUUUUACCAUAUCAUCUGAAAAACUCCUCAUGACGCCAUAGCACCCAUUGAAAUAGAGUGUUUGGAAAAAAAACGAAAUCUUUUGGUCCAGUGUAGAGGGCGUAGUCAGAAGAAAACGGCAACCAAUAGAAGUAAUACUCAUCAUCACUUCUAUUGGUUUCUGACACGUCCAUCAACCGCCAGCACUCACCCCUCCUCCCUGCGCGUUCACCGACUCGUGAACUUGACCGACCCCGCCCCCAUCAUUCAUGCACACGCGCGACAAGGCUCAUCAUCACUCGGCUAGUAGCAAGGUAACGAGAGUUAGCAGCAGGCUGAGCUACUUGGAAACUGUGGUGGCUUUUGCAGAGCUACAGGAAGAACUUUGGCUUUUGGAACACUAGAACCAUGUCAGGAUAACAUACUCCCUUGGAUUAUCAUCGGACUCGCAAAACCAGACUCCAACACGGGCUGAAAAUUUGAAAUGGGACCUGACACUCUUGGACACAGAUGUCGGCUACGGCAGCGGCUUCAAAUACGCUUUGGUGACCAUAUUUCUAAUCGAGAGGUGAGAUAAUAUAUUUGUCUGUAUAAUAUUUUGUGAAUUGGUUUAGGACACAGUGGUGUCUUUUUUUUAAGCAAGUAUCCAUUGAGAGGGGUCAGAGGAUUAGCUCAAGCUCCAACAUAUCUAGCUGCUACCUUGCUUAACAUCUGCUACCUCAAUCGCUUUAUUUUUUGUGUUUUUCCCCUCUGUGGCAUUUAUUCUGUGCACAUGAACACGUUUUCAGAAUUGCUAUGUGUAACUCAGACGGUUACUCUUGUGUGUUUUGCUGCUAGUUGUGCGAACGAGCCAGACAAACCAGCUGGGAGGAGGACGGAAGCACCCCUUCUCCAUCCGCAUUCAGUUGCUAAAUACGGAUCCACCCCGUAGUCAACAGCCGACAGGGUCCUUCCACAACCACAUACUUAUGCCAGUAAAAGCCACAGCUUUUCUCCUCCAAUCCAAGAAGCCUGGACUGCAGUCACCAUCUCAACACACCAACCAAGAGAAAGGCGGAUGGCUCAAUUCAAUAUGGAAAAUUGCACAAUAAAAGUUCCAGGACAAGAAGGCUGCAUACUGUGAACGUCAACCUUCAGGGCACCGUCCUGCGCAGAAGACUUUCUACCCUAAGAGGGAUGGCUGACCGCAGACACUCACAACCAGCACAGACGCCUCCAACCUCAAACUAGGCCCUUCACAGUUGCUGCACUUACCCACCUUCCCAGAGUUCUUGUGUGGUAAUGACAACUGUAAAUAUAGUAUAAAGUAAUGUAUCUAGUGUCAUGUGUAAUACAUUGUUUAAAUUGUCCAUACAUUUCAAUGACAGUAAAUAUUGGUGGACACAAUUUGACUGUGUGGCUUUUUUAAUUCAUUCUCUGACUGAAAAUGCAUGGUUACAUAAUUUAUAUAUUCCACAAGACCACAAUCAGAAGAACAUUUGACAGGUUGCAUUUAUUUUCUAUGUAUGAAAAAAACAAUGGUAACAAGACAAACGUGGUUCCAAACCAAAAAGGUGAGAUGUACAGAUGAAUGCUCCUACAGAUAAUGAAAAAUAAGAAAAGUCUGCACACUGCCGGUUUGUGUGUUUUAUACCGUACUCUGUAUAAACCUUUUAUAUUGCUCUAGUGGAGCAGGGUAACCCUGGCUAAUCCUGGGUAUUGUACUGUGUAUUACAACGUCAGCCCUGUUCAAGUGCCCCAUACUGUCUGUAGGCUGCAUGCCUGAAGAGACCGUUUCUCUCACCUGGUCCUACAUCAGCCCAAAGUCUUAUCAAAACUGAGAACACCACAGCAUUUCCUUUCAAUGUUCAUGGGCAUCUCCUUACAGAUUGCGCAGAGGCGCCAGGUUGGUUGUGCUACUGAGUUGUGACUGAGGACCAGAUGUCAUGUGCCAGGUCGAACAUCAAACUGGGGUCACGGGUCAGGGCACGCUGCAGUAACCGAUGGGAUUGCUUCAAAUUCAAUGAUUGAAUCAAGGCCUGCAAAGCAAUAAAUACAUUUUAUGUAGUGCAUUUUCUAUUUGAUGAUGGGGACUAAAUAACUCUAUUGACAAUAAGACCAAUAUGGACAUAAGCAAUCAUUAUUGUGUAUAUAAAUAAAGAUGUGCCAAUUAUAUGCAUACAACGUUUUCAGUCAAUUUCUUACAAACUGGUGUUGUGCCAGGGGUUACACAGAUGUUUGAAGUAGAUGGGCUUUUAUGGAUGUACUUGAACUACCACUGGUGUUGUGUACCUACAACCAUGUAAUAUCACACUACUACUCAUAGGAGUAGAAAUAUUGUAAUGGUUAUCACAACAGGUGUACUCGUGUAGCCUACUCGUGUUGCGAUAUAGAGUACAUCC